AGUCGAACGAGACCUUCGGGUCUAGUGGCGCACGGGUGCGUAACGCGUGGGAAUCUACCCUUUGCUACGGAAUAACUCAGAGAAAUUUGUGCUAAUACCGUAUGAUGUCGAAAGACCAAAGAUUUAUCGGCAAAGGACGAGCCCGCGUAGGAUUAGCUAGUUGGUGUGGUAAAGGCGCACCAAGGCGACGAUCCUUAGCUGGUCUGAGAGGAUGAUCAGCCACACUGGGACUGAGACACGGCCCAGACUCCUACGGGAGGCAGCAGUGGGGAAUAUUGGACAAUGGGCGAAAGCCUGAUCCAGCAAUGCCGCGUGAGUGAUGAAGGCCUUAGGGUUGUAAAGCUCUUUUACCAGGGAUGAUAAUGACAGUACCUGGAGAAUAAGCUCCGGCUAACUCCGUGCCAGCAGCCGCGGUAAUACGGAGGGAGCUAGCGUUGUUCGGAAUUACUGGGCGUAAAGCGUACGUAGGCGGUUAUUCAAGUCAGGGGUGAAAGCCUGGAGCUCAACUCCAGAACUGCCCUUGAAACUAGAUAACUAGAAUCUUGGAGAGGUGAGUGGAAUUCCGAGUGUAGAGGUGAAAUUCGUAGAUAUUCGGAAGAACACCAGUGGCGAAGGCGACUCACUGGACAAGUAUUGACGCUGAGGUACGAAAGCGUGGGGAGCANACAGGAUUAGAUACCCUGGUAGUCCACGCCGUAAACGAUGAUAACUAGCUGUUCGGGCUCUACGAGCUUGAGUGGCGCAGCUAACGCAUUAAGUUAUCCGCCUGGGGAGUACGGUCGCAAG
rnacentral:rRNA from 1 species